AUUGAACGCUGGCGGAAUGCUUUACACAUGCAAGUCGAACGGUAACAGGUUAAGCUGACGAGUGGCGAACGGGUGAGUAAUACAUCGGAACGUGCCCAGUCGUGGGGGAUAACGUAGAGAAAUUUACGCUAAUACCGCAUACGAUCUAAGGAUGAAAGCGGGGGACCGUAAGGCCUCGCGCGAUUGGAGCGGCCGAUGUCAGAUUAGGUAGUUGGUGGGGUAAAGGCCUACCAAGCCGACGAUCUGUAGCGGGUCUGAGAGGACGACCAGCCACACUGGGACUGAGACACGGCCCAGACUCCUACGGGAGGCAGCAGUGGGGAAUUUUGGACAAUGGGCGCAAGCCUGAUCCAGCCAUUCCGCGUGCAGGAUGAAGGCCCUCGGGUUGUAAACUGCUUUUGUACAGAACGAAAAGGUCUGGGUUAAUACCCUGGGCUCAUGACGGUACUGUAAGAAUAAGCACCGGCUAACUACGUGCCAGCAGCCGCAGUAA
rnacentral:rRNA from 1 species